UACGAAGGGGGCUAGCGUUGUUCGGAAUUACUGGGCGUAAAGCGCGCGCAGGCGGCUAUCCAAGUCAGUGGUGAAAGCCCGGAGCUCAACUCCGGAACUGCCAUUGAAACUGUUUAGCUUGAGGAUGAGAGGAGGUGAGUGGAAUUCCCAGUGUAGAGGUGAAAUUCGUAGAUAUUGGGAAGAACACCGGUGGCGAAGGCGGCUCACUGGCUCGAUUACUGACGCUCAGGCGCGAAUAGCGUGGGGAUCAAACAGG
rnacentral:rRNA from 1 species